GUGCUCGCUUCAACAGCACAUAUACUAAAACUGGAACCUUACAGAGAAGAGAGCAUGGCCAUUGUGCUAGGAUGGCCUGAAAAGUAGUGAAGUGUUCCAUAUAUUG
ensembl:snRNA U6 U6 spliceosomal RNA